rnacentral:tRNA from 1 species
GGAGAGAUGGCUGAGUGGUCGAAAGCGGCUCCGUGCUAAGGAGUUGUCCCGUCAAAAACGGGACCGUGGGUUCGAAUCCCACUCUCUCCGCCA